UACGUAGGGGGCUAGCGUUGUCCGGAAUCAUUGGGCGUAAAGCGCGCGUAGGCGGCCCGGUAAGUCCGCUCUGAAAGUCCAGGGCUCAACCCUGGAAAGCGGGUGGAUACUGCCGGGCUAGAAUCCGGAAGAGGCGAGUGGAAUUCCUGGUGUAGCGGUGGAAUGCGCAGAUAUCAAGAGGAACACCUGAGGUGAAGACGGGUUGCUGGGCUGACACUGACGCUGAGGCGCGAAAGCUAGGGUAGCAAACGGG
rnacentral:rRNA from 1 species